rnacentral:rRNA from 2 species
AACGAACGCUGGCGGCAGGCUUAACACAUGCAAGUCGAGCGCACUCUUCGGAGUGAGCGGCAGACGGGUGAGUAACGCGUGGGAAUCUACCUAUCACUACGGAAUAACACAGAGAAUUUGUGCUAAUACCGUAUACGUCCUAAUGGAGAAAGAUUUAUCGGUGAUGGAUGAGCCCGCGUUGGAUUAGCUAGUUGGUGAGGUAAAGGCUCACCAAGGCGACGAUCCAUAGCUGGUCUGAGAGGAUGAUCAGCCACACUGGGACUGAGACACGGCCCAGGACUCCUACGGGGAGGCAGCAGUGGGGAAUAUUGGACAAUGGGGGCNCAAGCCUGGACUUCCAGCCCAUCGCCGCGUGACGUGA